UACGUAGGGUGCUAGCGUUGUCCGGAAUUAUUGGGCGUAAAGAGCUUGUAGGCGGUUUGUCGCGUCUGCUGUGAAAAUCCGGGGCUCAACCCCGGACUUGCAGUGGGUACGGGCAGACUAGAGUGUGGUAGGGGAGACUGGAAUUCCUGGUGUAGCGGUGAAAUGCGCAGAUAUCAGGAGGAACACCGAUGGCGAAGGCAGGUCUCUGGGCCAUUACUGACGCUGAGAAGCGAAAGCAUGGGGAGCGAACAGG
rnacentral:rRNA from 1 species